AUCGAAAUCCAUGGACGUAUCGAAGUGCCGUGAGUUGUACACGGAUUUGUGUAGGCACUAGCGCCAUCUAGGCUGUACUCCGAUAACCUGGCUACGAAAACAUCCGACAAACAAGCGCGAAAUACACUUUCAAAUUUGCUUGUUUCCUCAAAAUCUUCGACCGCGGCGGAGCGUGAGGACCGCAGGCGCUAAACUGGACCGCCAUUUUCAAAUGCACCGGCAGCACUGAUUAAGGAAUGUUCACAAUUAAUCUCUAGCUAAAACGUGUUGAAUAUUCUGAUGAAACUUAAGUUGUUAUUCGCUUGGUAGUCAUCAAGAAUUUAGAAAUAGACGGAUCAAGCGUACUUCUCGGUGACUGGACGGCAAGUGAUGCGAGCGACGUGAUCAUAGAAAUUAUUGGUGUCGCCCAUCUUACGUUGUGGGAUGACGUUUGAACAUUCUUCAGUUAACAGCGAUGAUAAAUGGCGCCAAUUAGUUGAUGUCCUGCUAACAAUUAGUCAACAACAUUCCUACAGAACGGCUCAAAAACUGAAGGCCGUAAUACAUAUUCCAAAUAUUUUUACUUAGAAUUUAGAGCCUUUUUCAUUGUGAAUUAACGAUAAAUAGUAAGUAGGCAUAAUCAUAACUGAUCAUAACUGUACUUGAGCAUACGUAAGCUGAUAAUAUAAAUGAUGUUCGAAUACAUCGUCACGUGUACAUAAUAUUUUGCAGCAUUUUAUCAGAAGUCAAAAAAGUUUCAAAAAUUGAAAUACGUGCAAAAAAACGAAUUGCUACUAGCUGGAAAAUACUGUAGUAAAUAAUCGGUAAACAGACAACCGUAGCUGUGUCAGCAUGGAAAUUAAACAGUAAUUUAUGUUAAUUGCAAUCUUGAUCGGUUGGUAAUUAUUAUAAAGAUGAAUGUGUAGCUGGAGAAUCAUAUAAUUAAAAAACAAAGAUAGCAAUAUGAUGAAAAAUGA
rnacentral:lncRNA from 1 species